UACGAGGGGGGCUAGCGUUGUUCGGAAUUACUGGGCGUAAAGCGCACGCAGGCGGCUCGAUAAAUUAGAAGUGAAAGCCCCGGGCUUAACCUGGGAAUUGCUUUUAAGACUGUCGAGCUAGAAUCCAGAAGAGGGUAGUGGAAUUCCGAGUGUAGAGGUGAAAUUCGUAGAUAUUCGGAAGAACACCAGUGGCGAAGGCGACUACCUGGUCUGGCAUUGACGCUCAUGUGCGAAAGCGUGGGGAGCAAACAGG
rnacentral:rRNA from 1 species